rnacentral:rRNA from 1 species
CAUGGUACUAAGUAUACGAGAAGUAGGGCGGGACACGUGAAAUCCUGUCUGAAUAUGGGGGGACCAUCCUCCAAGGCUAAAUACUCAUCAUCGACCGAUAGUGAACCAGUACCGUGAGGGAAAGGCGAAAAGAACCCCGGAAGGGGAGUGAAAUAGAACCUGAAACCUGAUGCAUACAUACAGUGGGAGCAUCUUUGUGGUGUGACUGCGUACCUUUUGUAUAAUGGGUCAACGACUUACAUUCAGUAGCGAGCUUAACCGAGUAGGGGAGGCGUAGGGAAACCGAGUCUUAAUAGGGCGACUAGUUGCUGGGUGUAGACCCGAAACCGAGUGAUCUAUCCAUGGCCAGGAUGAAGGUGCGGUAAAACGCAUUGGAGGUCCGAACCCACGCAUGUUGCAAAAUGUGGGGAUGAGCUGUGGAUAGGGGUGAAAGGCUAAACAAACUCGGAGAUAGCUGGUUCUCCCCGAAAACUAUUUAGGUAGUGCCUCGAGUAUGAGACUGAUGGGGGUAAAGCACUGUUAUGGCUAGGGGGUUAUUGCAACUUACCAACCCAUGGCAAACUAAGAAUACCAUCAAGUUGCUCCUCGGGAGACAGACAUCGGGUGCUAACGUCCGGUGUCAAGAGGGAAACAACCCAGACCGCCAGCUAAGGUCCCAAAUGAUAGAUUAAGUGGUAAACGAAGUGGGAAGGCACAGACAGCCAGGAUGUUGGCUUAGAAGCAGCCAUCAUUUAAAGAAAGCGUAAUAGCUCACUGGUCGAGUCUUCCUGCGCGGAAGAUGUAACGGGGCUCAAAUCUAUAACCGAAGCUGCGGAUAUACUUUUGUAUAUGGUAGGGGAGCGUUCUGUAAGCCUGUGAAGGUGACUUGUAAAGGUUGCUGGAGGUAUCAGAAGUGCGAAUGUUGACAUGAGUAGCGAUAAAGCGGGUGAAAAGCCCGCUCGCCGAAAGCCCAAGGUUUCCUACGCAACGUUCAUCGGCGUAGGGUGAGUCGGCCCCUAAGGCGAGGCAGAAAUGCGUAGUCGAUGGGAAACAGGUUAAUAUUCCUGUACUUUGAUUCAAUGCGAUGUGGGGACGGAGAAGGUUAGGUUAGCAAACUGUUGGAAUAGUUUGUUUAAGCCAGUAGGUGGAAAGAGUAGGCAAAUCCGCUCUUUCUUAACACCGAGACGUGAUGACGAGUGUCUACGGACAUGAAGUGACCAAUACCACGCUUCCAGGAAAAGCCACUAAGCUUCAGUUGAAUCAGAACCGUACCGCAAACCGACACAGGUGGGCAGGAUGAGAAUUCUAAGGCGCUUGAGAGAACUCGGGAGAAGGAACUCGGCAAAUUGAUACCGUAACUUCGGGAGAAGGUAUGCCCUCUAAUGUUAAGGACUUGCUCCGUAAGCAUCUGAGGGUCGCAGAGAAUCGGUGGCUGCGACUGUUUAUUAAAAACACAGCACUCUGCUAACACGAAAGUGGACGUAUAGGGUGUGACGCCUGCCCGGUGCUGGAAGGUUAAUUGAAGAUGUGCAAGCAUCGGAUCGAAGCCCCAGUAAACGGCGGCCGUAACUAUAACGGUCCUAAGGUAGCGAAAUUCCUUGUCGGGUAAGUUCCGACCCGCACGAAUGGCGUAACGAUGGCCACACUGUCUCCUCCCGAGACUCAGCGAAGUUGAAAUGGUUGUGAAGAUGCAAUCUCCCCGCUGCUAGACGGAAAGACCCCGUGAACCUUUACUGUAGCUUUGCAUUGGACUUUGAAGUCACUUGUGUAGGAUAGGUGGGAGGCUUUGAAGCAGAGACGCCAGUCUCUGUGGAGC